rnacentral:rRNA from 1 species
GUUGACCUCGAAUCAGGUAGGACUACCCGCUGAACUUAAG